rnacentral:rRNA from 1 species
GAUGAACGCUGACAGAAUGCUUAACACAUGCAAGUCAACUUGAAUUUGGGUUUUUAACUUAGAUUUGGGUGGCGGACGGGUGAGUAACGCGUAAAGAACUUGCCUCACAGCUAGGGACAACAUUUAGAAAUGAAUGCUAAUACCUGAUAUUAUGAUUUUAAGGCAUCUUAGAAUUAUGAAAGCUAUAAGCACUGUGAGAGAGCUUUGCGUCCCAUUAGCUAGUUGGAGAGGUAACAGCUCACCAAGGCGAUGAUGGGUAGCCGGCCUGAGAGGGUGAACGGCCACAAGGGGACUGAGACACGGCCCUUACUCCUACGGGAGGCAGCAGUGGGGAAUAUUGGACAAUGGACCGAGAGUCUGAUCCAGCAAUUCUGUGUGCACGAUGAAGUUUUUCGGAAUGUAAAGUGCUUUCAGUUGGGAAGAAAGAAAUGACGGUACCAACAGAAGAAGUGACGGCUAAAUACGUGCCAGCAGCCGCGGUAAUACGUAUGUCACAAGCGUUAUCCGGAUUUAUUGGGCGUAAGGCGCGUCUAGGUGAUUAUGUAAGUCUGAUGUGAAAAUGCAGGGCUCAACUCUGUAUUGCGUUGGAAACUGUAUAACUAGAGUACUGGAGAGGUAAGCGGAACUACAAGUGUAGAGGUGAAAUUCGUAGAUAUUUGUAGGAAUGCCGAUGGGGAAGCCAGCUUACUGGACAGAUACUGACGCUAAAGCGCGAAAGCGUGGGUAGCAAACAGG